CUUGUAUAUACAAAAGAAGAAAUUGGUUCAGAAAAACCUUAGAUCUGCAGAAUUUCAGAAUAUGAAAUAUGUAUAGUUCUACUGGAUAUUUUUGGAUUUGCUGUGCUCAGUAUUUUGCUACUGCUCUAAACCUUAUCCCCCCUAUUUGUCUCUCUUAGUCUGUCGCAUGCAUGGAUUUUUGGGGAAACAGGAUGUAUGUGGUAUGGGUUUCAGGGCUUCGUUUCUGGCAUUGGGUCUCUCAUCACUACCUGCCUUAUCUCCCUUGACUGCUGCUUCAAGAUCUGUAGCUUUCGAUACUGUCAGUGGAUUGAGAGAAAGCAUGCCUCUCUGUCUGUGGCUCUGGUGUGGAUCUAUACAUUACUCUGGGCCUCACUUCCUGUUAUUGGCUUUGGUAGUUACCAGCUGCACCAUAAACUGGUAAUGAACCAUAACCAUUAGUAACACUUGUAAAUGAGUCACUAACCUAUUCCCCAAAGAUUAUUUGGUGUUUUGAGAGUGCAUUCUCAAAGGGCGGCAAAUAUAUAGCAUUUACUUUCAAGCAGCUGAAUGUUACUUUACCUACAAACCACUGGAACAUCUAAACCAUCACAGAAAAAAAAAUGUGUUGAUGUGUUCACUUAA